rnacentral:rRNA from 1 species
AGAGUUUGAUCCUGGCUCAGGACGAACGCUGGCGGCGUGCUUAACACAUGCAAGUCGAACGGAAAGGCCCUUCGGGGUACUCGAGUGGCGAACGGGUGAGUAACACGUGGGUGAUCUGCCCUGCACUUUGGGAUAAGCCUGGGAAACUGGGUCUAAUACCGAAUAUGACCACGCUCUUCAUGGGGUGUGGUGGAAAGCUUUUGCGGUGUGGGAUGGGCCCGCGGCCUAUCAGCUUGUUGGUGGGGUAAUGGCCUACCAAGGCGACGACGGGUAGCCGGCCUGAGAGGGUGACCGGCCACACUGGGACUGAGAUACGGCCCAGACUCCUACGGGAGGCAGCAGUGGGGAAUAUUGCACAAUGGGCGCAAGCCUGAUGCAGCGACGCCGCGUGAGGGAUGACGGCCUUCGGGUUGUAAACCUCUUUCACCAGGGACGAAGCGCAAGUGACGGUACCUGGAGAAGAAGCACCGGCCAACUACGUGCCAGCAGCCGCGGUAAUACGUAGGGUGCGAGCGUUGUCCGGAAUUACUGGGCGUAAAGAGCUCGUAGGUGGUUUGUCGCGUUGUUCGUGAAAACUCACAGCUUAACUGUGGGCGUGCGGGCGAUACGGGCAGACUAGAGUACUGCAGGGGAGACUGGAAUUCCUGGUGUAGCGGUGGAAUGCGCAGAUAUCAGGAGGAACACCGGUGGCGAAGGCGGGUCUCUGGGCAGUAACUGACGCUGAGGAGCGAAAGCGUGGGUAGCGAACAGGAUUAGAUACCCUGGUAGUCCAA